AUCGCCUCGCGGCCUGUUGGCUUAGAUUAAAGUGUAGUGUCUGUUAUUAUCAGUUUAAUAUAUGAUACAUCCCCUAUUUUUGGGUGACUUGGUGGCACAGCAAGUAGUGCUGCUGUCUCAUAGCACCUNUU
rnacentral:snRNA from 1 species